UACGGAGGGUGCAAGCGUUAUCCGGAUUCACUGGGUUUAAAGGGUGCGUAGGUGGGUCUGUAAGUCAGUGGUGAAAUCUCCGUGCUUAACAUGGAAACUGCCAUUGAUACUAUAGGUCUUGAAUUUUCUGGAGGUAAGCGGAAUAUGUCAUGUAGCGGUGAAAUGCUUAGAUAUGACAUAGAACACCAAUUGCGAAGGCAGCUGGCUACGCGAAUAUUGACACUGAUGCACGAAAGCGUGGGGAUCAAACAGG
rnacentral:rRNA from 1 species